GCGGCAGCAGCAACAGCAGCAGCAGUAGCAGCAGCGCCAGCAGCAGCAGCAAAACCUCUGUGACUAAAUUGCCACAGAAAGAAGCCAGGAAACGUAUGUGCAAAAUUCCUGGAUGUUUCUUGAAUAACAUUGAGAAGUUAAAAGAGUAUUCUGGAAGGAAUUUCA